GACGAACGCUGGCGGCGUGCUUAACACAUGCAAGUCGAACGGAAAGGCCCUUCGGGGUACUCGAGUGGCGAACGGGUGAGUAACACGUGGGUGAUCUGCCCUGCACUUUGGGAUAAGCCUGGGAAACUGGGUCUAAUACCGAAUAGGACCACGCGCUUCAUGGUGUGUGGUGGAAAGCUUUUGCGGUGUGGGAUGGGCCCGCGGCCUAUCAGCUUGUUGGUGGGGCAAUGGCCUACCAAGGCGACGACGGGUAGCCGGCCUGAGAGGGUGACCGGCCACACUGGGACUGAGAUACGGCCCAGACUCCUACGGGAGGCAGCAGUGGGGAAUAUUGCACAAUGGGCGCAAGCCUGAUGCAGCGACGCCGCGUGAGGGAUGACGGCCUUCGGGUUGUAAACCUCUUUCAAUAGGGACGAAGCGCAAGUGACGGUACCUAUAGAAGAAGCACCGGCCAACUACGUGCCAGCAGCCGCGGUAAUACGUAGGGUGCGAGCGUUGUCCGGAAUUACUGGGCGUAAAGAGCUCGUAGGUGGUUUGUCGCGUUGUUCGUGAAAACUCACAGCUUAACUGUGGGCGUGCGGGCGAUACGGGCAGACUAGAGUACUGCAGGGGAGACUGGAAUUCCUGGUGUAGCGGUGGAAUGCGCAGAUAUCAGGAGGAACACCGGUGGCGAAGGCGGGUCUCUGGGCAGUAACUGACGCUGAGGAGCGAAAGCGUGGGGAGCGAACAGGAUUAGAUACCCUGGUAGUCCACGCCGUAAACGGUGGGUACUAGGUGUGGGUUCCUUCCUUGGGAUCCGUGCCGUAGCUAACGCAUUAAGUACCCCGCCUGGGGAGUACGGCCGCAAGGCUAAAACUCAAAGGAAUUGACGGGGGCCCGCACAAGCGGCGGAGCAUGUGGAUUAAUUCGAUGCAACGCGAAGAACCUUACCUGGGUUUGACAUGCACAGGACGCCGGCAGAGAUGUCGGUUCCCUUGUGGCCUGUGUGCAGGUGGUGCAUGGCUGUCGUCAGCUCGUGUCGUGAGAUGUUGGGUUAAGUCCCGCAACGAGCGCAACCCUUGUCCUAUGUUGCCAGCGGGUUAUGCCGGGGACUCGUAGGAGACUGCCGGGGUCAACUCGGAGGAAGGUGGGGAUGACGUCAAGUCAUCAUGCCCCUUAUGUCCAGGGCUUCACACACGCUACAAUGGCCGGUACAAAGGGCUGCGAUGCCGUGAGGUGGAGCGAAUCCUUUCAAAGCCGGUCUCAGUUCGGAUCGGGGUCUGCAACUCGACCCCGUGAAGUCGGAGUCGCUAGUAAUCGCAGAUCAGCAACGCUGCGGUGAAUACGUUCCCGGGCCU
rnacentral:rRNA from 1 species